rnacentral:rRNA from 1 species
GAUGAACGCUAGCGGCAGGCCUAACACAUGCAAGUCGAGGGGUAACAGGGAUAGCUUGCUAUCUGCUGACGACCGGCGCACGGGUGCGGAACGCGUAUGGAACCUGCCCCUGUCAGGGGAAUAGCCCAGAGAAAUUUGGAUUAAUGCCCCAUGGUAUCGAAUCACCGCAUGGUGAUUUGAUUAAAGAUUUAUCGGACAGGGAUGGCCAUGCGUACCAUUAGCUAGUUGGUGGGGUAACGGCCCACCAAGGCAGCGAUGGUUAGGGGCCCUGAGAGGGGGAUCCCCCACACUGGUACUGAGACACGGACCAGACUCCUACGGGAGGCAGCAGUGAGGAAUAUUGGACAAUGGCCGAAAGGUUGAUCCAGCCAUGCCGCGUGCAGGAUGACGGCCCUAUGGGUUGUAAACUGCUUUUACACGGGAAGAAACCUCCCCUCGUGAGGGGAGCUGACGGUACCGUGAGAAUAAGGACCGGCUAACUCCGUGCCAGCCGCCGCCGUAACAC